rnacentral:lncRNA from 1 species
CAAAGUUUCACAAGACAAGGUGAUCUGCGUGUUCACCAGGAUUACAAUUGUUGAUUUGUUGUGGCCUCAAUAUCUACAUCCUUUUAUCUACUCAAUUAAUAUCAUUUGGGUAUCUACUCUAAUGGAAUAGUUUGUUGUUCCCAGCUGAUUUCUGUUUCCUCGUAUUGUUCGUCCUCCACAGUGCCAAAUCUAUUGAUUCUGCUACAAAUUUAAGAUUAGUCAAUUUUUAUUAGUAAAAUAGUCAUGUUUCUUGAGCCUGAAUUUUCAUCUUGAAAUUUCUUUUACUUAUCAGUGCAAUGAUCUCCUCAUACCGUUCGUCAUCUACAAUGCCAAAUCUAUUGAUUCUUCUACAAAUUUAAGACGAGUUAAGUUUUAUUAGUCAAUUGUCAUGUUUCUUGCGCCUGAAUUUUCAUCUUUAUAUUUCUUUUACUUAUCAGUGCAAUGAUGCAGGUGGCUAUCUUAAAUGGGAUUACUAUGGGCGGUGGUGCUGGAAUUUCAAUACCCUUUGUCAUUCCGAGUUGCUACUGAUAAAACUGUAUUAAACUUUCAUGAAAUUUAACAAUCUCGAUUUCUUCUUUAAUUUCAUCUACUAAAAGAUGCUUCCUAUGUGUUUCGAGUUAAUGUCAAUUAUUUUGCAGAACUAUUGAUAGAUGUGAAAGUGCCGUUCUGCACUUAAUUAGUUAAGAAAAAAUGUGAAUAUAUAUCAAUUAAACAGUUGAAAGAAUUACUUAUUUAUUUCUUCCAUUGAUUGAAAGGUUGAAAAGAGAGGAGAUUGAAAGUGAAGUUUUUAGGAGGAUCAGCAUAUUUAGUACAAUUGGUUCAGGACUCUGUUUAGAUAUUUACCUCUGUUUCUCACCCCUGAGUAUGCUGCUAAGUGACACCCAAUGCUUCUGAUUUGAAAUUCAAGAUCCAAACUCCCUCUUUGUCUCUUAUGUCUACUGCUUAUUGUUAAUGCCUUGUUACCCAAAAUUUUUCUUUGCUACCCACAUAUUGCCGAUGACAGCAAUUUCUUUUAAUAAAAUCCUCAACAUUUCUUGUCUACCCAUUGCGUUUGCCAUGGUCAAGAAGUUCAAGCUUCUUAUAUGGUUAAUGGUUAGUUUUGUGCAAAUAAAUUUGACUUCUCAUAAUGGCCGACUGCGUGUUUAAUCUCAAGAGAAUGUUGCCAAUAGUAUUGGGCGUCAGCGUGUGCAUGUUGACUCACUUUCUCAUUUUUACCUGCUCCUCCUCCUUUUUUCUGUAGAUGAGAAAAGAAUCUCUCCAUCUCUCUUUAUGGCUCUCUUUCUGUAGCUCUGUGAAGAGGCUGACUGGAACACUAGUCUGUACAUUUUAGUCGUUUAUUACCUGCCAGGCGCUGCGAAGACAUUAAAUGAUGCGUGGUGCACGUCAACUUUGAUGAAACUUAAAGACGCUGCACCGUGAAGUUUGAAGGUUUCCUUGAUAUCUGUAAGUUCCUAGGACAUUUUACUGAGUUCUGCAAACCACUAUGAUUUGAGCUCACCUCACAAUAAUGUUUGGUCCAGAUACUAUACUAGAAGGGAGAUUUCAAACUCUUGACCAGUGCCAUAUUCGUGAGUACAGAAUGUCCCGACAAGGAAUAUCCGGGCAGAUUACAGGCGACUUCCGUGAGGUAUAAAAUGUUUCUCUGUUUCACACUUUCACUUGUUUAUUUAUUAGCUGCUCCAAAUUUGAAAUUGUUUUUAAUCUACUAAUGAUUUUGGAAAACGAAUAGUGGGACCCUCCAACCUUGACAUGAUAGAUCAGUACUUUGCUCUGAUCACGGCACUUGAGCCUGAACUCGAACUACCCACAAAGCAGCGAGAAGCAUUUGCUUAGUUUUGGGUGAAAUGUUGGAAUGCAUUUAUUCCCCCCAGGUGCAGAACUUGCACUGAGCUAAUGGUGGACAGAUACACAGGCUGAAUAAACAAUUUCACCAGCUAACGACAAUGAAAGAUUUAAGGAGUACAUCACACGAAGAUACGACUUCUUUAGGAAUAAUGAAAUCUUAGAAGUAUGUUUAUGUGCAGUAUUUUGCAUUUGC